rnacentral:rRNA from 1 species
UACGAAGGGGGCUAGCGUUGUUCGGAAUUACUGGGCGUAAAGCGCGCGCAGGCGGUCUUCCAAGUCAGUGGUGAAAGCCCGGAGCUCAACUCCAGAACUGCCAUUGAAACUGUUAGACUUGAGUACGAGAGAGGUGAGUGGAAUUCCCAGUGUAGAGGUGAAAUUCGUAGAUAUUGGGAAGAACACCAGUGGCGAAGGCGGCUCACUGGCUCGUAACUGACGCUCAGGCGCGACAGCGUGGGGAUCAAACAGG